rnacentral:lncRNA from 1 species
AAAUUAGAGUUGGGAAUGAUAGGUUAAGUCAGUGUCUAAAUGACAAGACUAGCAAGACGAGUAUUACAUCACUCGGUACUUGUGAGUGUGCUCGAGUCUGACAAGAACGUAAGGUCUUAAAGGUGUGAGGAAUGUGGCAUCCCCAGAAGUUGCAAUAGUCCUAUAUUUUAGAUAUAAUAGGGUUAAACUUUUUAACCAAAUUAUAGUAUUUUGAGUAGUGGUUAGGCUCAAAAGAUUAAAAAAAUUAAGCAUGCUAUGG